rnacentral:lncRNA from 1 species
GAUUCACUUUAAUAGGAAAGCUGUUCUCUGUGCAGGUGACCAGCUGGGUAAACCCGCCACCACACCAUUCUACCAAUUAUCAUGAUGCCCUAUUAAAAAGUCAGGGCAGGGCAGGUCCCCGUUUGAAGGAGGCCGUAAAACUCCUUGUGCAGUGACUAUUAAUUUCGCUUUAGAAGUUUGUUGGUUACAUACAAAAGCUAAAACAAAAACUAGAAUAUUCCACCCAACAGAAAAUAAGCUCGAGCAAAUCAAGCUCUUUAUGUGGUACGGAUUAAACUACCAGUGUACAUUUUCGCUUUUCCAAUAUUUAUUUUUAUUAACCACUGUUCACAGCCUCUGAAACAUUAGAACAUUUCUACCUUUAUAAUGUGAAAAUUAGAUAACCAGAAAACAACCAGAAUACUAUAAAUGCACAUUUAAUGAGGUAUAAGGCAAUUCAAAGUUGACAUAUAAAUAAAAAUAUAUCCCUGUGCAUACUCGUGAAAUGUAUGUACAUGGAGUGAAACAUAGAAGGUCUCUUACCACCUGGAGUUAUUACUGUACUUUCCUUGCUGCCUCUCCAGCUAUUCGACAUCUGUUCCUACAACAGCUUCAGUGCCUGUAGACAGAAGCCUUAGCCACCCAAGGUCUGUUACAGCUUUGCCCUGCUACAUCUGCAAUCCAGACCUCGCUGCCAGCCAUCAGUCACCGGGCUUCUGCUCGUUCCUGUGGCCUCAAGUAUCAUCAACACUAAAAAUCUUUUUCAGCGUUAUGUUUAAAACAGCAAGAUAAUUAAUAACACUUUUUCCAUUGCCUAUCGAAGGUUAUCUUCAAAUUAGAGAACAGCAUUUGGUUGACUGCAUUUUGCUGCUUCCAAAGAUUUGGAAUGCCAUGCACUUGGUAUCUUAAUUCUACUGGAACAUGGCAUAGAGAGUCUGGCUUAUUACUGUGUUCACCGAAGUGGAUACCGAGCAACACGCCCUUGAAUAGUGGAUUCAUCUUCAAGGAGAGAUGGCUCUAACAAUGUAACCGGCUAUUGAAGCAACAGCUGAAGAGGAGGUCAAAUCUCAGAAGCCUGAGGUUAGUAAUUCUCUUUUAUCUGCACUCUCUAUUCUCUACCUAUUCCUUUUCUCUUUUGAAAUAGAAAGAUUUUUUU